CCCGGACUCAUUCCGAACCCGGCAGUUAAGUCCACCUGCGUCGAAUAUUGUACUGAGGUACGAGAGUCCUCGGGAACUAUUCAACGCUGCCAAUA
rnacentral:rRNA from 1 species